rnacentral:rRNA from 1 species
GACGAACGCUGGCGGCGUGCUUAACACAUGCAAGUCGAACGGAGUGGCGAACGGGGGAGUAACACGUGGGUGAUCUGCCUUGCACUUCGGGAUAAGCUUGGGAAACUGGGUCUAAUACCGGAUAGUGCAAGAUGAGCUCGCGGCCUAUCAGCUUGUUGGUGGGGUAAUGGCCUACCAAGGCGUCGACGGGUAGCCGGCCUGGGAGGGGGUACGGCGUCAUUGGGACUGAGAUACGGCCCAGACGCCAACGGGAGGCAGCAGUGGGGAAUAUUGCACAAUGGGGGGACGCCUGAUGCAGCGACGCCGGGGGUGGGAGGAAGGCCUUCGGGUGGUAAACUCCUUUCGACUGGGACGCGGUACCUGUAUAAGAAGCACCGGCUAACUACGUGCCAGCAGCCGCGGUAAUUC